rnacentral:rRNA from 1 species
UAACACCCGAAGCCAGUGGCCUAAACUUGUUAGGGAGCUGUCGAAGGUGGGAUCGGCGAUUGGGACGAAGUCGUAACAAGGUACCCGUACCGGAAGGUGCGGGUGGAUCACCUCCUUUCUAAGGAG